rnacentral:rRNA from 1 species
UAAACCUGGUUGAUCCUGCCAGUAGUCAUAUGCUUGUCUCAAAGACUAAGCCAUGCAUGUCUAAGUAUAAGCGUUAUACAGUGAAACUGCGAAUGGCUCAUUAAAACAGUUAUAGUUUACAUGGUAACCGAAUUUACAUGGACAACCGUGGUAAUUCUAGAGCUAAUACAUGCUGUUGAGCCCGACUUUUGUGG